CGAAAUGCAUUUAGGUGCAGCGUCACGUGUUUCUCAUCGGAGGUAGAGCUACUGGAUGGUCUAGGGGGCCUACAAGCUUACCGAAAUCAGCCAAACUCCGAAUGCCGGUGAGUGAGAGCGUGGCAGUGAGACUGCGGGCGAUAAGGUUCGUAGUCGAGAGGGAAACAGCCCAGAUCGCCAGCUAAGGUCCCUAAGCGUGUACUAAGUGGAAAAGGAUGUGGGGUCGCGAAGACAACCAGGAGGUUGGCUUAGAAGCAGCGAUCCUUUAAAGAAA
rnacentral:rRNA from 14 species